rnacentral:rRNA from 1 species
UACGUAGGGUGCAAGCGUUGUCCGGAAUUAUUGGGCGUAAAGAGCUCGUAGGCGGUUUGUCGCGUCUGCUGUGAAAACUCGAGGCUCAACCUCGGGCUUGCAGUGGGUACGGGCAGACUGGAGUACUGCAGGGGAGACUGGAAUUCCUGGUGUAGCGGUGGAAUGCGCAGAUAUCAGGAGGAACACCGGUGGCGAAGGCGGGUCUCUGGGCAGUAACUGACGCUGAGGAGCGAAAGCGUGGGGAGCGAACAGG